rnacentral:miRNA from 1 species
UCUCGCUGCUGAGCUCGGCGU